AAAGUCGUAACAAGGUUUCCGUAGGUGAACCUGCGGAAGGAUCAUUAACAGACUCUGCUAGUCAGAAUUCUACCCUGUGUGAACUGUUUCUUUGACUUGGUGCUCUUGAGGGUCUAACUUUUAGCCUCUUUUGAGAGGGUAAUGAGAGAGAGAGAGGACCCUCUAAGCACCCUAUUAUUAUUCAACUACCCACAUUUUGACUGAGACAUAUAAUUAGAAAGACUAGAAAACUUUUAGCAACGGAUCUCUAGGCUCUU
rnacentral:misc_RNA from 1 species